rnacentral:rRNA from 1 species
AUUGAACGCUGGCGGCAUGCCUUACACAUGCAAGUCGAGCGGCAGCGCGGGGGCAACCCUGGCGGCGAGCGGCGAACGGGUGAGUAAUACAUCGGAACGUGUCCAGUAGCGGGGGAUAACCUGUCGAAAGAUAGGCUAAUACCGCGUACGACCUACGGGUGAAAGCGGGGACCGCAAGGCCUCGCACUAUUGGAGCCGGCCGAUGUCGGAUUANCUAGUUGGCGGGGUAACGCCCACCAAGGCGACGAUCCGUAGCUGGUCUGAGAGGACGACCAGCCACACUGGAACUGAGACACGGU